rnacentral:lncRNA from 1 species
UCAAUUGUCAUGUUAGGGAAGGGGAGAUUAGGGGCUAUGGCAGCCACCCAACCAACCAGUGGAUGCACAGGUAAAUAUCCUUGUAAUUUUUAAUUUAUUUUUUAAAUUCUUUAGAAUUCAUUUUGUGUAAUUAAAUAUUAUUUCUUUAUGAUGAUUUAUUUUAACCAUGCUUUACUUUAUGAUGAUUUAUUUAUUUUAAGGAUUAUGUGGUAUGAUUGAUUGAGUGGAAUUAAACCUUGGACAAAAUCAAGAUAUUGUUUUAUUUCAUUUUCUGCUGAAUUGUUUGUUUUUACAUGGUACCGUCUCUCACAUACACAGUCCAAAGAAUAAGAUGCUGCAACGCCUUUAACUGUGCAAUUCACAGGGUUUGCUUGGCAUGGACUUCUGGUAUAAAAUUUUGAUUUUAAUUUAUAUGCUUUAUAUUGUCAGUUAAUCACAACAAUCUUUGGAGCAUAAAAUGUGGAUUUUGAGUUUGAAACUCUGACCACUUGCUCAACAUUUGUCUUUUAUUCUUAAUAUUUCCACAACUAUUUUACAUUCACAAUUAAUCGUCGUCAUGAGAUCGUAUAAAAUAUUUAAUUUUAAUCAAAGCUUUCUCAAAAAUCAUGCAAAAUAAUUUGUGAUUAUUAUCGAUGUAGUUUUUUUUAAUCAUAAAGCACAAAAACUAAAUUCUUAUUAUUUCACUUUUUAUCAAUUAAAAAACAAACUAUUUACAAGAGAUAUUUAGAUCAACAACAAUUGAUAUAUUUGGUUCAAAAUUUAGACUACAUAAAUCAUCUUUUUUUUUUUUUGAGGGAAUAAAAAAAAUCAUCUUUUGUAGACCCAAUAGUUUCUUAUAAAUAUGAUUGGAGGGUACUGAAUUAUUUUUUUGGUCAAAUACUGUGGUACUAUAUGAGUAGCACAUAAUUCAGUAUCCAGUGUAUAUUAUUCUUUGAAGUUAUUUUAAUUGGAAAAUGAUGGUGACCCAAGGCCACUGGCUUAUGUCGGUAUCGUUUAUUAAAAAUAUUCUUAGGAGGCCUCAAAAGUCACUAGCUUUUGGCCAGUCUUAAAUUGGUUUAUGGUUAAGAUGAUGAGAACGUCCGAAAAAUACAUGUCGGGAAGAAAAUGGCUAUCAUUAAAUUUACGUAAAUAAAAUAAAAUUAAUAUCGGCUUAUACAUUUACAGAGCCAAAUGCUGCUAAAUCUUAAUAACUUUAUUAGACUUUUGAUUAAUGUCCCAAAGGGAAAAGAAAACCACAAAAAACUAUGUUUGUUUUCUUUUGUUUUGUCUUUUGGUCCCUACUUUUGUUGUUCUCCUCGUUUUAACAAAAUUACAGCUUUAGUGUAACUGAGAGAUUUCCCCUGUAGAAGAGGGGAUGGGUUAGUGCUUGCUCCUUAUGUAGAAGAAACAAUACUUGUUGUCCUAUGAUCUUCAUUUUUUGUAUAUAUAAUACUUCCUAAUUCAUGAAUUUUCGGCAAUUUGGAGCUUUACACAUGCAGGGGACUUUGAAUUCAUCUGGCUCAUCAGGAUCAAACAAGUAGUCAUAACUGCGAAUAACAAAAUAACAUCAACUACAAUAUCAAAAUGCAAGUGCACACAAAAAACAGCACAUGUAGAGAGAGAUGUAUAUACGUUAGCUCAUCACCAGCAGAUACGUUCGUCUUAGCGAUGAGUACAAUUCGGCUCUCAUCAUCACCCACACUCAUGAUCCUUGCAUAGCAAUUUGGCAUACACUAUAUUAACAUGAACCAAAGAACUGGUAAGACAACUAUACAGUAUCUGGGGUUUAUAAUAUUCUAUUUGAGUUAGGUUGUGACUCACAGAAUGAUUUAUUAGCCGUGCUAUAUUCCCUUUAUCGGUGGCAUCUACGACCACUUCUUCGCUUAUCUUAAACAACUGCAAAAGUAAGAGGGCAAGGAAUUUUAGUUUGUGAUAACAUAUGAUUAUGAAUAAGGAGAUGAUGGCCGUGAUACUUUAAUAUGCAAAGAUAGGGAAAUUAACUCACGUAGCAGUCUUUCCCUUCUGCUCUAUAGCGUGCUUCCCUCAGAUCAGCAACACUGCGCCUUACUUGUUCGCCGCGAUAUUCAAGAACCUGCUUAGGAUCAAAUUAAAAUCAUUAGCGCUACAUAAAACGACGGUGAUAUGAUUUACAGGGAAAUCUAAAAAAAUAUUUUGCACUGAUGAUUGAUCAACAGUCAAACACACAGGAGUGUGUUCUGUGUCUUUGUAAUGUUAUAGUACUUGGCAUGAAAAUCAUACCAUUUCUCCUUCUUGAAUAUUCCUACGUGCAAAGAGGCCCCAUCCAUGUAUGCCAGAUCUACCAAAGCAAACCCGUCCAUUUUCGGUCCUCUGGAAUCAUAAAGUGUACCGCCACAAAAGUCAGAAAUAAACCACUGAAACAAAUAAUCUAACUAAGAAAGAUAAGCACCUGCAAGUGGUAAAGGCGUUCUCUGAAAGAAGCGAAAGCUUGAGGCUCCUCUACUACUGCCUGUUUGAGGAAAAAUGAUAUGAAAAAAGUGAGGAGAAAUUAAGAGAGUGAAAGGGGUAGUUUAGAUCUUAAAAUCGAGGUAAAAGAAUUAAUAAUAUCUGAUAUAAUUUCAAGAAGGCAAGAGGCUUACUCUGUAUGUAUUUAAACUCUGAAUUGUAUCUAAAGGAUGGUGGGAGUGACCCCUCGCUAGAUGAAAAAUGGCUUCAUCCGCUGCUCUCUAAGAAGUAGAAGAAAUAAAAUUUAGUGUAAGUUGAACAUUUGAAAAGAAACGAAGACAAUUUAGAGGAACCGGUGGAUAACUAGCUACAAGAUGAACAUAGAAACAAAGGAACCAGUGCAAGAAAAGAAAUAACCAUGAUAUUUCAUGAUUAUGUCGAACAAAAAAGUGCUUUUGAUGUUUAAUAAUUUAGAGAUUAUUUGUAAGAGAGAUCUUUUAAGAAAAAUAGAAGCUAUUUGUAUUUGUCUACUGUAAUGAAAAUCAAUUUUUAAAAAUAAUCAUAAACAAUUUUCAAGAGUAACUUUGCUUUGAAAAAUGUUUUUUUAAGAAAAAAGUUGUAGCAAACAGACACUUAAUAUAUCUUUGAUAAAUACAAUCCAUGCUGCAUUGUUUAUGUUUUAUUUUACAAACAUUGACCAGCAUGAACAAUUUUCUCCAAUCUACCUUUCUGGUAUGAUUUGUUCUUUUAAAGAUCUGACACCGAGCAGCAGAGAAUGGGUCAAGCUCAGUGAUAUCAAUAGGAUUAUCUUCUUUCUCUAUUCUGGCAGACGAGAUUAACCUUGACCCAACUUUUCUCUUUUGAAGAAGGCUUUUGGUUGAAAUUACCCCGAGAGGGGUUUGCAAAAUCAAAACAUUGUCGGGAUUUGGAGCUCUGCAACAAAUAACAGAUUAUCAAGAUGAAAAGAUAAAGAGUAAUUCUUUCUUAGUUAUUAAUUGAGGGUUCCAUACCUGUGGUAAGCACAAUACGAAACCAUUUUUGUAGUCUGCUUUCCAUUUUUCUUCAAACAAUGCAACUACAGUUAAGAGAGAGAAAAUUUAAUUAAAUAUUGGCAGUUCUGCAUAAAUGGAACAUUCAAUAAUACAACAAUCAAGGCUCAUCCCAUUGGUGGAGUUUGGAUACAUGGUCACAUUGAGCACCGUUGAUCUUAUGAAUUUGUCAAUCUUCUUAUAGCAUAAAAAUGUAAGUUUUCGAAAUUUUCUUAAAGCACAAAGUGGAAGUAAAUGUUCUAUGAAGACUACAAUUGAGUGUCUAUAAUCAGUCAUCAAUCUGAUUUGUAAAAAAAAAAAAAAACUCAAUCCAAUAGAAACCUCACCUCCAUUCGGUAACCAGCCCUUGAUGCACACAUGGCAUGGAAAUAAGUGGAACAUUUGCAGCACUGUGUGCACGAACCAUGUAUUUGCUUGCAAAUAACACAAAUCUGAAAUCCAAAUAAUGCAGACCUUAGAUUGCAUUUAUAGACUGAACCAAGAGAUGUAUAAAUGAUAAAAAUAUACAGAGAUCAGGAGUUUAGUUCUUUUUUGGUAUUCCAUGCUCGAUGAAAAAAAUAACCAAAUCUGAUAUCAUAUUUAUGAUGUGUAGUAGUGUGAACAAAUCUUACAGUGAGAAAUAUGCAAAGAAUGAAAUCACUUUUGCUGGUGACCAGCAUUACUUUACAAGGGAAAUUUUUAUUGGCCAAUAGCUCACCUUCACAAAAGAAUUUGAUGGAAUACUAAGAAUACCCAAAGCAGGUUCCAUCUUCUCAUCACUAGCGAACGAGACUUCAGGUCGAAACCAAGCACAGGUGACAUGAACCCAUAACGUGUCAAUAUCGGCUGGCUUUAGAGCACCACCUGGGAGUUAACAAAUAGUUUAAGAAAACAACAUUAUAGAUGUCAAAUGACAUGGCUAUGAAAAAAUGAUAUCUCAAUAUCUUCAUGAUAAUAACUUGAGGAUUUCCCCCCAAAAAAGAGAACAAAAAAACUUGAGCAUUUUUGUAAUAGUCAAACUUUUUGGAUGUCAUUAUUGAAUGACACAAUGUAUCAAAAUAUAACUCAUACUUAAAAGGGUGGGUAAAACUCAGCCAUGAUUUGUAAAACUGAAUUAUGAGCAUAUAUAAGUCAAAAAGAAUCAUUGAGAAUUUACAAAAAAACAGAACUUACAUUAUUGGAUGAUAAUGUAAGAUUGUUUCAACACAUAGCAGAUCAAGUUAAUAAAAUAGUGUAAAAAGGGGAAAAAGUUCUUAGCCAAGAAGAUUAAAAACUAAUUUAAAGUCUCUUUGUUUCAGAUUAUUUUAUGAUUUUUUUUUUUUUAAACGUAAUCAUUUUUAAAAUUUUCUAUUUGUUUGUUUCAGCUUUUAGAAUUAAUCAGAACCUGAAAAAAAAUCUGAAAUCUAUAUUUCUGAUUAUACUGAAAAUAUAUUUUUAGUAUUUUUUUAACAAAAAGAAUGAUUUUGAUUAGAGCAGUAGCUGAGAAAAAAUGUUAAGGAGUAAUUUUUAUGAUUACAAAAUAAAUAAAUUAAGUUUUUCUUUACAUAAAGUUCUCUAUAAAAUAGUCACUGUUAAAAAUUGUUUCUUUUAGAUAUUAAACAAACGGAUUCUUAUAUAGAAGAUUAACAGAAAUUUGAGGCAAGACGGCUUCAAAGAAUAGAAUUCACAAAGUAAAGGAGAGUCCAUAUCAAUCCAAACAAAUAAAAAGAUGAUG